GUUUUCAGUUGUCAAACUGUUCAAAAAGUUUCGUUUUCCAUUUUAUUUGAAUCUAGAGUGACCAUGAUUCUUGGCAGUAAAAAAACUGAUACGUACUGGACUGGAAUAGACAAGUGCUUUCGACGACCAGCUUGCGGACACAGAUGUAUCCCUACUAGAGCAGGAUCAGCAGCUAACGGGCUACACCCUGGAUCCCGGCGCUAAGCCACAAGCAAGUGUACUUCAGCUUCCGGAACCUAUUUCGAAAUGGCAUGGUCCAGAAUUAUUUCCUGAGUACAUCAAGUCUUUUGCAGGCAGAACAAAGGCUGCAACAUCCAAAUAAAAUUAUCACACAAAAUCAUUGGAACCAUAUUCCUUCACCGAUUUUCUCCGUUUCUUGUUGCCAACAGAUGCGAGCGGGAAUGGGAACGGGUUACAGAACACCGGUUUAAAAUGUCCCCACCAUCGAUAAAGAUUAGCAAUUUUACCAUGACAGUGGUCCGCCGGAAAGAAACUUGCAUUUCCGAGCAACCGAACUAACCCGCGGCAUCACAAAUUUGUUUUGAUUUUGCUAGCUGUCAUUCACGAAAACAGGCAAAAAAUUUGGGAUUUUACAAUAUUUUAGCAUUUACAUGAAACGUUUUUAAAUG